rnacentral:misc_RNA from 1 species
AAAACCACAUUGUUGAGGUACUUGCAGCAAAUGAUAUUGAAUGUGAUGAUUUGGCUUCAAUUUGUCACGCAGACACAAUGGUUCUUAGCAAUUACAUAGAAGAAAUUGUGGUGUCAGCAAUAUCAUAUCAUCUGAUGAAUAAUAAGGAUCCAGAAUACCCAAUCCGUGGGACAAGCUCUUAGAUGAUAUAACGAGCUUUCCAUUUCGGUACAAGAAGGUAAAAGUGGUGGGAAAGAUACUAUAAAACUGGAAACAAAUGGUGAAGCUGGCAAGGACACUGAAGGGGAAGAGGCUGUUAGUGCAAAGGCUGAAACCCCAACAUCUGAAAAUAAGGGUGAAACAGAGAAAUCUGUUCCUGGAGUCAAGAAGGAUGGAGAGAAUCCACCUCCGGCUAAAGCACCUGAAGUUCCUCCUGACAAUGAAUUUGAGAAACGAAUCAGGCCAGAGGUUAUCCCAGCAAGUGAGAUUGGAGUGACAUUUGCAGACAUUGGUGCCUUGGAUGAAACUAAAGAAUCACUUCAGGAGCUAGUCAUGCUUCCUCUUCGAAGACCAGACCUCUUCAAAGG